rnacentral:rRNA from 1 species
UUCCCCUUCGGGGGACAAAGUGACAGGUGGUGCAUGGUUGUCGUCAGCUCGUGUCGUGAGAUGUUGGGUUAAGUCCCGCAACGAGCGCAACCCUUAAGCUUAGUUGCCAUCAUUAAGUUGGGCACUCUAAGUUGACUGCCGGUGACAAACCGGAGGAAGGUGGGGAUGACGUCAAAUCAUCAUGCCCCUUAUGAUUUGGGCUACACACGUGCUACAAUGGACAAUACAAAGGGCAGCGAAACCGCGAGGUCAAGCAAAUCCCAUAAAGUUGUUCUCAGUUCGGAUUGUAGUCUGCAACUCGACUACAUGAAGCUGGAAUCGCUAGUAAUCGUAGAUCAGCAUGCUACGGUGAAUACGUUCCCGGGUCUUGUACACACCGCCCGUCACACCACGAGAGUUUGUAACACCCGAAGCCGGUGGAGUAACCUUUUAGGAGCUAGCCGUCGAAGGUGGGACAAAUGAUUGGGGUGAAGUCGUAACAAGGUAGCCG